CUCCCUAGGCUCUGCACAAAGCCCCUUCAUUUGGUCGUUGUGUGAGCCUCACCCCUGGUCCUGCCUCCACUCUACGGGUCUACCCCCCAUUUCCCUGUGUACAUAAGGCUUUCGGCUCCUUUCAGCCAAAGGAAACAGCCGUGUUCUGAUAGUGGAGGCAGGACAUGCUUUCUUGGCAGGUUGUUCAUCUGCCAGCAUUCCUGUUUGCUAUGCGUUUCUGAGCUCCGGAUAUCAAUCACCAUCUUGAUAGGCGGAGACUGGAAGAGAGAACACAAAUGGUCUUCCAUUACAGUCAAGCUGGGUAUACUUGCUGUGAAUCUGCACCAAGGACAGCUGAGGGAACGUGAUGGGUGCCUGCCAUUAGCAGCUUACGGUGGAAUGCAGGAAGGAGUCAUCACAGGCAUACAAGUGUGCCAUACUAAUGAGAACAAGUCACGAAAAGGCCCUGUGCAGACAUCUUGGUGUAGAGGAAGGUGGCAGCUAUGUUAGCGGGAGCAGUGCAUAUGAAGGAUAGGUAUGAGCCAUUAUGGCUGUGCAAAGGCCCUGAGGCUAAAGUCAGUAAAGUCUAUCAGAGGGAUGCAAGAAAGUGUGAGGUAGCAGAGCAUGAAAAGCGAAGGGAAAGAGCUCAAGAAGUAGGCAGGAAGCUGGGACCUGCUGGGGAAAGCUCGCCAUGUCGCCAUGUCACCAUGUCAUCACAGAGAUGUGGGUCUUAUCCUGAGAAUACUGGAGAAUCAUGGGACACUUCGGGGAGGUGUGUGAAGGUGUGUGUGUGUGUGUGCACGUGCGCGUGUGUAUGUGCUUGCGUGUGUAAGAUGAUAGAUUGGAGAUCACUCAUUCAUUUACGUUUGCGUGUACUUGUAGCUAUUUUAUGAUCUAUGUGUUUUAUUUUUAUGUGUAUGCAUGCUUGCCUAUGUGUGUGCAUGUGCACCAUAUGUGUAUCUGGUACCCUCAGGUUAGAAGAGGAUGUUGGAUACCCUGGCAUUGGAGCUACAGAUGAUUGUGAAUCAGCAUGUGGGUGAUAGGAACCACCAAGGUCCUUUGCAAGAGCACCUAGCACUCUUAACUGCUGAGCCAUGACUCCAGCCGUGACACACACAUAUUUUUAACUAUACUUGGGCUUUGAAAAGCACUUUACUAUAGUCUCCAGCCAGGUUGGUUUUUCUCCCCCAAGACAAGAUCUUGCUAAGUUAUUCAGGCUGGUCUGGAACUGACUACACAGCCACAAGCUCAUGAUCCUCCUGUCUCUACCUUUCGAGUGUUAGAUUAUGGGAGGGCACUGCUCCACCUGACUCAAGGUUUUAGAGGAUUCUUAUGGAGCUAGAGAGAUGGCUUGGCAGUUUAGAGUACUUGUUACUCUUGCUGAAGGUCCGAGGUCAAUUCCAUACACUCAUAUAGUUGUCCAUGAGCAUCUGUAACUCUAGUUCCAGGGGAUCCAAUACCCUCUUCUCACCUCCUCAGACACCACACACACACACACACACACACACACACACACACACACACACACAUACAUACAUACACACACUCACAAACACACUCACACACAUAUACACACUCACACAAACACACAAACACUCACACACACCACUCACACACAUACACACAUAUAUACACAGUCAAACACACACUCACACACCACACACUCACAUACCACACAUUCACACAAUACAUACAUACCACACACACACACCACACACACACUCACACACAUACACACAUACACACUCACACAUAUACACUCACACACUCACACACAUAUACACAUAUACACACACAUACACUCACACACACACACCACACAGUCACACACAUAUACACACUCACACACAUACACCCACACCCACACCACACACUCACACACAUACACACACAUAUACACACAUACACAAACACACACACACACACACACACUACACAGAUAUACAUGGAGACAAAAACACUCAUACAUAUAAACUAAACCCCUUUAAAGCGCAUUCUGACAUGGUCUGGUGGUCUGAAUCAGGGUGCAAGUGGUGACGGGAGGAGAAAUGGACUCACUUGGAAGCCAGCACGAGUCUGAACGGCAGAGAGGGAUGAUGCUCAGGGGUGGAGGGAGCAAGAAGCAAGAGUGGUGUACUAGGCAUGACAUCUGUGCUGAUCCUCCCAGCAAACCUAAGUGGCCCUGCCUACUCCUCAGGGAGAUGGCGAUCUGAGGUGAACAGGACGGGCAGGGUGACAGCAGACCGACUGGGAACGGGCCAUGAGCUGUAGUGCCCUAGGCUUCCAUGAUACUGAGUCUGCGACCACUGGGCCAGGCUAACAUUGCUGCAGGCCUCUGCAUUGGCUGCUCCAAGCAUAGACCAGACUGCCCUGCAGAGGGAGAGCUCUCUGCAUCACCGAUGCUUUCUCUGUAGAACCCUUCAUCUGAAGUUGCCUCAACCCCUCUUGACCUCCUUACUCUACUUGCCCCACGGUGCCUAACACAGGAAACUUCUUUAUUCUUGUGUUUGUGUUCCCCGUCCCCAAGAAUACUUCCGAGACGAGAGAAACCCUGGUUUCUACUCAAAGAGAGAGAAACACCUAGUACCUACUCAAAGACAAAGACAAAUGAAUGAGUGACCCCUAAAGACUAAAGUCCCUGCUGCCCCCUCCUCAGGCUAUGUGGGCACCCACACUAGCCUUGACCCUGGACUUAGCAAUGAAUGAUGGGUGCCCUAGUUGGGUUUUGGCAGCCCCUCCCCUCUGGUUUAUUCUGCCUCCAGCUCCAGAGGGGCACAGGUGAGUGAUGGAUUCCCAAGAAACAGUAUUUCCAUGCCUUCCUUUGCCAAGCAGAACCAGCUGCGUGAGUAUAUUUCCAACCCCAAGCCUUGGCCUGCAGAGCAGAUGGGACAGGACCCCUACUGGAGUGCUCGUCCACGCCCACGGCUAGGAGCACUCCCAGGCAAAUACUGCUCGCACCGCAGAUUCCUUGUUAUUUUUGCUCCCUGGUUUCCCCUAUAGAUCUCAGGGCCAAAGUCAACUGCACUUGCGGUUCAUUCCUGGUUCUUUUUAACCUGGGCUAUAAGAUGGGGUUUGUUCCUCCUGGCUCAGUUCCUUCUUGGAAAAUGCACCAGCUUCUCCCCUUACUCCAACUUCAUUUCAAAGAGGCACGGAUUUCAAAACACGCAGUUAGGGACUGUGUUCUUGAGGGGGGAAAACAGGGCACCGAAAGCCCCAGCCAGGCCUGGCAGAGCCCACCGAACGCACAGAUGAAGACGUAGCACCCAGUGAAUUGUUAGCUCCCACAAGCAAGUCCAAGAGCUGUGUAUAGGUUUUCCUUUUCUUUCCUAUGCCUCUGGUCUCCUCCAACGUAGAAGGGAUAGGAUUAGCCACCAUCUCACUGUAUCAUAUGCAGCUCACUGACUGAACACACAUAACACAGCAGUAGAGAAGCCAUCAUCCCACCUCAAAGCUCAACUGGAAAUGGAGGUGGGUCGGGGACAAUAGACAAUCCUAAAAACCCACUGACUUGCACAGAACACUGCUCUCCAGCUGCCUCUGGAGGAACAACAGUAUAGCCACAUUCUGGCAGGGCCUCACACUGCAGACCCACAUGCUGGCAGAGCUGCGGUUCCGACAGGAGAUGGAAAAAAGACAAAAGCACGUGAGGAUUCUCACUUCACGGGGAGUGAGUUUCUUGCAAGAACUGAGGGAGAUGAGCUAACAGGAAGGAGGUAAAUAGUACUAAGUGCCUAGUAAUGAAACGAGCUCAGCUUGGAGAGAUGUUGUAGAGGACAUGUUCACUGUCUGAGCAUUCCCACAUCACCCUUCACCUGGACCUGGACCCAGGAGUAACAGCAUCAUCUUCGACUGUGUGGUGAGCACCUUCUCUCCUCAUGAUUGUGCACUGUUCACGGUGAUGGAGUAUACUGUGUGGUGAACCCAUUAUAGACACAGUUCCUGAUGAGGACAUCACUCUUAUCCGUCUUUAAGCCAGAACACUGGAGAUUCUGAAAUCCCCAGGAGCUUGUCCAGGAAACAGAGCAAGGAGCUCCUGAAAGGGAGCGGGUCACACCCUAUAACACAGGCUCCUCUUCAACACAAUGUCUGUUUUCCUCAGUCAAGAAAGACUCGUUUGGGGGCUGGAGAGACGGCUCAGCAUGAGAGGUGUUUUGCAGAGCACCUGAGUUCAGAUACCAGCACUCAAGUCAGGUGGCUCACAACCUCCUCUAAGUCCAGCUCCAGAGGAUCUAUCGCCCUCCUCUGGCCUCCCCAAGUACCUCUGCAUAUGCAUGUCCAUAUUCUCAGCAUGCCAGGCUCCCACCACCCUGCCACCAUUCAAUGCCCGGGCUCGGACCUUCCCUCACUCAGCCUUUCUCACCCCACAGGAUGUCAAGGGCCAGCUGGUGGCCGUGGGGUGUGACUCACGCCCGCAUUGCUUCUUAGAAUAGGUUCAUCCUGCUUUCACCCCAGCUGUUGUCUCCUUCUCCCCCGACCCACCUUAUCCUCCUAUGGCUCAGCUCCUGUCCAACCCCACCCCUCCAUGCUCCUCAGAGCCAUAGCCUGUCCCCUCCUUAAGUAAACAUCUCUUAUGACACUCUGAUGCUUCCUCUCGACUAAACACAGAUCUUCUCAUCAGGUGCAUCCCCGUACCCCAGCCACUCAGCACAUUCUCUGAACUAUUACUAGAAGUCAUUUUGUCUGUGGAUCUCAUUGGAUUUCUCUGACACUCAGUCACUCCAGCACUCACUGAGGGAGGUGGUGCAGACUCAGAGUGGAGCUCAUGGACCUGAAUCUGACCUUUGCACUUGCGCACUAGGCUUCAGCAAACAUCUGACUUGCUUGCCUGCCGAACAGAGAUAAGGGCAGUGCUUAUUUCUCUUAAGUGUGUGUGUGUGUGUGUGUGUGUGUGUGUGUGUGAGAGAGAGAGAGAGAGAGAGUGUGUGUGUGAGAGAGAGAGUGUGUGUGUGAGAGAGAGUAUGUGUGGGAGAGUGUGUGUGAGAGAGAAUGUGUUUGUGUGUGUGUGUGUGUGUGUGUGUGUGUGAGAGAGAGAGAGAGAGAGAGAGAGAGAGAGAGAGAGAGAGAGAACAUGAAUGCAGUGCCCACAGAGGCCAGAAGAGGGCACACCUUUGUAGAUGAUAGGAACCAAACUGAGGCCCUCUAAAGAGCAGUAUUUGCUUAACCACUGAACUGUCUCUCUAGCUCCUCAUAGUAGUAAUUACUGUUGUGCUGAUUAUAUGAGACCAUCCCUAAACAACUUCAGUUGUUGAUCUGAAUGUAGUAUUCAUUUCUCUUUUAAAUUAUGUGUGCACACAUGUGUGGGUGUGUAUGUGUAUGCACGCACACACACAUGCGUGCUCAUGUGUAUUCAGUUCAAUACUCCUGCUGCCACGUAAUAGUAAGUAAAAGACUGCAUUUCCCAUACCUACCAGCAAACUUUAACCUCACCCAUUUUUAUAUAAAUCCCCUCGGCUUGUGUUUCUGAAACCUUAUGAGGGGUAGGAGUUAGUCUCCUUCAGGAAGGUCAGGAACUAACCUCACACCCAGCUAGCAGGGGGCAGCAGAGCCAACCCCUUGACUUUGGGUGCCAAACUUCCCUCUCUUCAUCACGGUUUGUCUGCUGCUUCCUUCAGCCCAAAUCUGAAUGCAUCAACUCAGCCAGGGCCAAAGAGAAGAAUUCCAAUGUUGCAUGAGUUUUCCUCCUGAAAAUUAACAGAAGCUCAAGGUCUUCCUACACCCAAUGAGGCCAACUGUGCCUCAACUAAACCCACUUCCCCACAGUCCUGCCACAGAUCUGACUGACAGUGCCCAGACUCCCACCACUUAGAGCAACAGACUUUUGUACCUGCAUUGGGCUGCUGUGGGACCCUGCCCCAGCACCUAGCUCUCCCCUGAAGGUCAGCUGAGACCAGUACCUCCUGCAGACAGGGCCCUGUCCCAUAGCCGCAUGUUUUCACAGAAAGGUUUGCAAGGGUGGACCAGCUAGACCUGCACAGGGCCAACUCAGCAAAGGGAUUCUGAAUGUAAAGAAAGCAGACACAAAUGGCACAUUGGGAAAUAAGCCUGUGUUCCCAGCCUGGCGAUGGGGCACCCCUAUCCCAACCCAGUUGGUGUUUUGAGCUCUCAGCAGCUUCAUUGUGACUGGCGUAUCAGCCCGGAAUAGUUUCACGCUCCAUACUCAUCAGCCUAGGGCAGGCAGAGAGGAAAAUCUGCCAGUCUCUGAAAAGGCUCUGCCAGGAGGCCUGCCCUCUCUCCUUACAUAGUAAAUCGAGAAAGCCAAGAGGGCUGAAUCAAGAGAGAAAGAACAUGAAAACAGUCCCACAGAGGAGCUUAUGUCUGACCGUGCUGUCCCUUCCUCAAAACCUUCACGAUUGUUUCUGCCUUCAGAAUAGAUUCUUAGGAUGGCUUUUCAACAUGCUUUAAACAUUGAUCCAAUGUGAGAUUAAUGUUUUUCCCUCACCCAUGUCUUCUUGGACCUCAUAUAUGACCUGAUUUGAAAAUAAGGUCUUUGAAGAUGUGAUUAACUAAAAUGAAUUCUUUCUGGAUUUGAGUAGACCGUGAAUUAAAAAGAAUGAAAGUCCUUGUGCAGGUUUUAUACAUGAGGCUCUUGAAGCUCUGAAAACAAGCGCUGAGCUGCGUGGGGCUUCCUGGGAGCUCUCCAUAGGCAGGCAGACCUGACUAAUACCUGGGUUUCCUUCCACCCUUCCUCCACACAGAAACAAAGACGUGCCCUCUCAGAGCUGGAGAGGUGAGACUCACCAACGCAUCCAAGUGCCACAAGAAGGAGGGUUGCAGAGGCUGGCACAAGGAGACAGCCUUUCAGUGAGAUGGGCAGAGAGAUCAUGCAUGAGUUUCAGUGAGAAAUCUCUUCCUGGAGAGGAAAUCUCUUCCAGGGUUUCAGUAUGUGUCGUGUGGAGAAUGCAGGAGUUGACCCACAGGAGUGAGUCUACACUACCUGGAACUAAUGACCACAAGAACGAUCGCAGUGCCAAACUCAGCAGCUUCAGUCCUAACAGGCCUGUGACAACCCCAGCUGGAAAUGGCAUUUACACCUAGCAGUCAGGGAUGAGUAAAGGACAGCCUAGUCUAACAGUUAAAUCCUUCCAGCUCCUCAUGGCAACUAUGCUACAGAGUAUUUCAUAGCAGGGAAUGGUGUCCUUGGGAGGUAAAGUCUUUGCAAAUAUAGCUUUCACAAUGCAUAGUUGUUAAUUAGUAAGGGAGGGAAAAAAAACACUGUCAAGGGAUAGUGACCAAAUUAUUCACAAUUUUUACCCCAGAGGUAGGAUGACAGGGAAUUUAAUUAUCCUUUUCCCUUGUUUACACAACUGUGCUUUUCUGUGAUAAGUAUAUCAUGCUUUUGCAACAAAAGCAGAGGGUAGGGAGGAGUAUAGGGUCAUACGUGUGAUUAAGUGUUUACUGGCAGGCAUGACUAAGAAAAAAAAUUACCCAGUAGCACCCAUGUGGCCCUCCAGGUUCACAGCCGGGCUUCAACCGCUCUAUUCCCAUUGUUUGCUGACCCUUCUACAUUAACCCGCCCACAUCCCCUUAAUAAUCACUUUAAAUGACACCAACACAUUUGUGGCCCACACUGGGCAGUGCCAUUAGUUCUUGGGGCUAGAGGUUCCUUUUUAAAAUGUUAGAUAAACUAUUUGUGAUUGGCAGAUGUGGCUGUGGCCAGCAGAUCCAUGGUUCUGGACUUGAGCCAUGGAGUCAGAAACAGCCUUUGCCUCCCAGGUAUUGAAUGCCUGAGCCAUCAGCCUGUGCCUAAGUCAGGACUGAAGAGGCCUCGGGGGAGCAACCUGCCACCCUGUCCCUGUUUAAUUCCUGCCUCUCCUACAUGCUGCACACAGGUUCAGAGCCCACAUGGCUUCACUCCACAACGGAAAAGGGCAAAGGGUAAAUAUCCGUAUGUUCCAAAGCCAAGCAGGAAGAAGGUUAUGACAGUAAACUGCAGGAGAUGAACAGAGACUACCAGGUACUAAUUUGGAUGGACUGACCAAGAAAGAACAAAGGCACCAGGCAGUAAGAGCCAAGUUCUGCUCUGUCUGUGGGAGGCACUUAAGCUACUGGAAGCAACAAUGGCCUUGAGUUAGGAAUGGGCUUAGGAAACUGAAAGCAGCAGGUGACGUAAAACUACUUAGGUGAACUUAUGGAGGCGAGAUCCAGAGACUGGGAGGGACAUCACUCCUCUCCCCUAUCAGGUAUGGUCCCUUGCUUCCUGCCUGGCUCCGUGUACCAGUUGUCUCCACUUCCAGCCCAGAAGGAGAGCAAGCCACUGAAACCUUGGCCUGUUGACCAGCAUGGUUCAGUGCGUUAAGAAUUCAUUCUUUGAAGCCAGACUUCCUUGUGAGUCCCUGAUCAUGAGUCAGCUAGCUUGCACAGAAGCCCAGGGAUAAGCAAACUGGAUUCUUCUGUAGGAGAGGGAUGGAGAAAAGCCCCAUAUGGUAGCAUCCGCCAGCUUUCAAGGUAUAAAUAAAAUCCUAGCACUGAACCUGAUUUCAGCAAGCAACAUAGCAUCACAGGACAUGGAGUUGGGGACACAUGCCCACAGUGGGUUCUCAGGAGCUGGACCUAGCCAACACACUGUCACCCCAAUUCUUUCAUCUAUGAGUUUAAUUCUAUCUCACAGGGUACCUGAUGGGGCUCAGAUGAGCUAUACACACAAGCGCUUCACAUGGUGUGUAGUGUAUGGUUAGUGCUCCAGAACUGAAAGCUACAGAUCUUGCCUGAGAGGGCAUCAUCGGGUAGACCUGGCUGGUUCUCGUAUAAGAAUCAUCUCCAGUAAGAGAAAGCAAAGGGUCUGGGAGGAGGUUAGGGGCCCGUCCUGACUCACUUCUACCUUCCUGUGUGGUUUCAGGCAAGUUGCUUUCCUUCUCUUUGAGGUGAAGGGUAGACCCUUCUCUCUCUCUCUCUCUCUCUCUCUCUCUCUCUCUCUCUCUCUCUCUCUCUCUUUUUAAGAGUUUUUUGUUGUUGUUGUUUUUAAUUUAAGAUUUGAUUAUUUUUUAAUGUAUAUCAGUAUACUGUUGCUCUCUACAGACACACCAGAAGAGGGCAUCAGAUCCCAUUACAAAUGGUCAUGAGCCACCAUGUGGUUGCUGGGAAUUGAACUCAGGACCCCUGGAAGAGCAGCCAGUGCUCUUAACCAGUGAGUCAUGCCUCCAGCCUGCGUAUACCUUCUUGAUGGGACAUUCUGAAACUUCCUGCUAUGGGGAAACUUUCUGGAAGCAGCACCAAGAGUGGCUGAGGGAUGCCAAGGCAGUGUGCAAGUGGGCGGAGUUGCCUAGAAAUCAUCUGUAUUAAAAGCCAAACUAUCAGAGGUAGCCAGUGUGUCAGGGUUUGGGACGGCAAGUUUCCGGGAAAGGUGGAGGCCUGCAAGGACACACGGCAUAGGCAAGGGUGAGAAGGGUAGGAUCUGUCCACUGGAGAAGGCCUGGGAUUAGAGGAUGUCUCUAAUAAACAUUUCACAAGGAAGGCUACCCUGCCAAGCUUUGCACACAGAGAACGGAAUCGAGAAAGGAGAUAUCAAUAAAACCUUGGACGAGACGGAUAUUCCAUAAGCAAAGAGAGGGAAGGGAAGGUAAAAAUGACCAAGAGGGGAGCAAGGCGGCAGCAGAGAUAGCUCAGCCAUUAAGACUGCUCGCUGCUCUUACAGUGGACCAGAGUUUGGUUCCCAGCACCCAUGCCAGCUCACAACCACCUAUGUAACUCAAGCUUCCGCUGACCCAACACCCUCUUAGCUCUGCAGGCACUUGCACACGUGUGUGCCUGCACACACACACACACACACACACACACACACACACUUUUUUAAAAAAAAUCUUCCCAAGAGAGAAGGCCAAAACAAGGGAUAGCCAGAGAAGCGCUGACUAAGCUUACCAUGAGGCAAAGGGUUCAGAAUAAUAAAAGGCUAUGUCCCACCCCUACCUCAAUUAAAGUAAGUUUUGAAAUAGAUCCCCUAGGCCCAGGAUAAUCCUCAUUCAACUAAGAAAAGGACAAAAGAGAAAUCAAGUCAGGCCUGAACCCGUGGGAUUGAAAUGUGAACCCACAAAGCUGAAAAAUCUCUAUGCUUCCCAUUUCAUUAGGCCCCCCUUGAAUCAUGGGAGAUUCUCAUGUUUAAGAGUCAGGACCAAAGGAUUAGCUGUCCAUGGGAUCAUGAGGCCUUCAGCAGAAGCCAAGUCUAUGACCCAGCUCCUUCAAGUUCCAGACAGAAGGAAGCAAAUGACAAACAGGGCUGGAAGACUGAAUGGGCUUUGCACUGGCCUCAAGUUCUUCUCUUGGUGCAUAAACAUGGAGUCUGCAUGAUCCUAGAAAUUGGUCCUUAGCAGCCUUCAAGACUUGGAACUGGAUGCUCCUUUCCAGGGAGUAGCUUUUUGACUGAGAACUUACAGAUCUGCUAAGUCCCAAACAGGCACGUGUAACUCAGGCCAACUACCGUCUUCAGUUGGUAAUCUUCACUCCAACAUAUUAUUUUUUUUAAAGAUUUAUUUAUUUUAUGCAUAUGAGUACACUGUAGCUGUCUUCAGAUAUACAAGAUCCCAUUACAGAUGGUUGGGAGCCACCAUGUGGUUGCUGGGAAUUGAACUCAGGACCUCUGGAAGAGCAGGCAGUGCUCUUAACCACUGAGCCAUCUCUCCAGCCCCCACUCUAACAUUUUAAAGCCAGACCUUGCCCUCAUACUGAGCUUAGUUCUCACGCCUUGCUGUGCAGGCAGAGGGGAAAUGAGUGAGCCAACCGCAUUCUGCCCUGAGCUCAGGACUCACAGGUGGCUUCGUUACUGCCUGCCUCCAAACUCCUCAUCAUCUAGCCUAGGGUGGAAAGAAUCACAUUCAAUCCCCAGUGUAAAAAUCAUAGCAUUCAGCUCAAACUGGGAACCAAGUCACAGCAGCCAUCUUAACUAGGGACUUCAGACCCCCCUCCCCGCCCCCAACCUGCUUCUCAUACCUUGGUCUUCCCAGUUCUGUGCCUGGUACAUUUCUGGCCUGGGAAGUCAAGGCUUGUCAAGGCUGUGUUAACUGUGCCUAUGGAAGAAUAUCAUCAAUAGGCCCUGAGCAUGUAGAAACCGAGAAAUGAAUCCAUGCCUGCCAAAUGUACAGUGUGAUGCCGCUUCUAAAAAAGGAGCCUGUUUGAAAUUCAAGAGCAUCUUACAGCACUGCUUAAAUAAUCUGUGGGUGGAAACUGCUGGAAGCCUUCUGUCUGCAGGGAGGAUGCUCACUCAUGGAGACCCUGCAGAUCUGCACCAGACCAUCAAUUACAGAAGUGUAGCCUACAACUCCUUCAUGGUGUGCUAAGUCCUGAGACACUUCUGGUGGAAAUGGUGCUUGGUUUUGUCAUGAAUUUGAAUACUCCAGUACACACAGAGCUUCCCACAAACCAUCAACUAAACAUUGUAUCUAUGUAAAUACCCAGGUUAUUUUUACCACAGGACAGGAAAAAAAAAAGUGGUGCUAUUUCUUCACAUUCUCCCCUGAAACCAUCACACCAGCUCCCGGAGAAAAACCUCUCGACAGAUGGCUCUAGUCCCUGGUGCUCAGAGAAGCAGCAACAGUCCUGAACUGCCGGCAAGCUACCGAAGUGCACGAGGAGUGAGGAGUGGCGUCGACCCCUUUCUUCAGAAAGGUUCGGGGGUUGUGAGUUCAAAUCCUGACUCCAGGGAGCUACGUCAUGUUAAGAAAGUGACUCGGUCUCAUCAGGUCCCACUUCUUCCCACCUGAGAUGAAGUCAAGGGCGGACACCUUUGUGGGGACACGGCAAGGAUUAAGACUAGUCACUCCAGAUCAGUGGUUCUCAACCUGUGGGUGGUGCCCCCUCUGGGGUCACAUAUCAGACACCCUGCACAUGAAAUAUUUACAUUGUGAUUCAUAACAGGAGCGAAAUUACAGUUGUGAAGUAGUGACAAAAAUAAUUGUAUGGUUGCAGUGGAGGGGGUGUGGGCCCCCACAACAGGGGGAACUGUGUUCAAAGGUCACAGCGUUAGGAAGGUUGAGAAACCAUGGCUCUAGAGCCUGGCACAGUGCAGGCUUAGCUCUUUACUGCCUCAUGUCAUUGUCUUGGGGAUGGAGUUCUACAAAAGCACACUGGACGGUGACAAUGCCCCUACAGCACCCCUGACACUACCGCCAUCCAUGUCUCUCCUAAGAACCUUGAGCAGGACCCCAGAAUAAGCACACAGUCAGGCUGCAAUCAGCCCUGCUAUGCUCCCGGGCCCCAAGAGUAGCCCCAAAGCCACAGAGAAGCCUUGAUGUCUAGGAGUAGGGCAGAGCAGGACACCACGUGCAGGGUCCAUUCAGUGAGUACUUACUAUGGGCCAGGUCCUAGGUACAGCAUGCUUCAAACCUCGAAUUUCCUCCUCCCAGCAUCACAGGGAAGGUGCUGUUAUCCCACUUUAUAAGUAAGAAGGCUGCAGGUCAGGAAAUAAAAGGCCGUCUGAGGUUCCUGUGACUCUGAGACCAGGACCCGACUCUGGCUUGGCUAGAUGGAGAAUUGUGCUCAAUGACAACAGACUGCCGAGGCAGGGUGCCAGGCCUGAGGGCUGCUCUCCCUCCCCCAACAUAGCCUUCUGUGGUACAUCUGGCCAGGACAGUGAAUUCUAGGCAUGACUGGUGUAAGGGGGAGGGUGAGCCUUUCCUGCUCCUGCCCAUGCCCUUUGGGCUGCUCACACUGUACCUUCAUUAGCCAAACGUGUGACAGUUAAAAUGCUAUGUGAGUCCUCAAGGGAAGGGCGCCUUAAUCCAUGGUUGGCAUAGACGCCAGGAAGCUGCACAUUAGACUGAGCAUGAGUAAGAGAAGGGAACAGGGUACAGGAGUGUUUGGGGGCAGGAGACCCUAAUGAAAGGGACUAGCAGGUAAAGUCCUUUUUAAAGCUGGCCCAUUCGAUGUCCCCCACACUUCAGCCAUCUUCCGAGUCUGAGGCCAAUGACCCCCUUCGUGCUGAGACAUGUACCUGAAGUUGUUUUGCUCUCUGUUUCCUUUCGAGCAGCUCACUCGUACUUUACCAGUGGCAGGUGGGGAACCUGAAGCUUGCUAUUCCUGGGUUCCCAAGGUCACUGCAGGGUGUCGCUCCCAACAGUGAGCAAGGAGCUUGAGCCACAAGCGUAGCCAUUGGGAGCUAUCACAGUUCUCCGAGUGCCUUCAGUCUCUUCUCACGUCAGCCACCAAGUCCAGUCCCCACCCUCAUUUCUCCCAGAACUCUUCAGUGAGGCCCUGGGGAACAGCAACUCACAGCCACACACAGCCCAUCAAGUACCCUGCCUCUAAGCAUUCCAGCCCCAUCAACGGCUCAAGUCCACACACCUCAAGGCCCAUCCCUAUUCUGGGCCACUCUUGCCCCACAUGCUUCUGCUUCCCUACCUAUAAAAUGUCCAGCGUAUAAAACCAUUUUCCCUGUAAGACUGUUGCAAACACUAAACAGGGGCAGACAUGGAAAAAUCCUUGGACUUACACCCGGCACACGCAGUGAGGAUCAGCUGCUAUCCCAUCUUCCCUGCUCCUGCAUCAUCCCGGCACCAUCUUAUUCCACCUCCAUGGUCCAUGUCACCCCACCGUCCUCCUGUCUCCAGGAGCACCAGCAUCUCCAAGACCUUAGUCACCACCCUUCCUACCUGGGCUCCUCUCCUCUGCUCAGGAUUCCACCCCAGGUCUCUGUUUUGUGGGUCUGAGACCAGGUAUGCUGCCUGGCUUGCAAGGUCAUCCUUCUUCAGCCUGCCUCACCUCCGCACUGCAUGACGACUAGCACCACUCCUGGUUUAGGCAAACUCUUCUUGUCUCUGGAACCCUUCUUUCCUUGCUGGUGGGUGUUAGGUCUCAAAUCUGGGUCAUACAGCAGAUACGCCUAAUAAAGUAUCCAAGUGGACUCCAGCCACCAGGUUUUCCCAGCCUCUCCUAGUCCCUACCUGUUACAGGGUCCUCCUGGCUGGCAUACCCCACCCCCUACCCUGAACUCUCUAGCCCGAGGGCUAGGUUACCUACCCCCUUCCCUCAGCUCCUUUGGCCUCUGUAUAACUCAACCAUGUUGGCUGCCCCAUUGCCUUGGCCAAUCUCUUGGCCUAGUCCACCCGCCUUGGUCAGUGGCUCCCCUCUUGCUCUCCCUUCCCUCUCUCCUCACCUGGCCCAGCUCACAAUUAUGUUCACUCUUAACCCUUCCAGAAGCCUCUGGCUAUGAUUUCCUUCAUAUCUACAGUAAACCUUCUCCUUAACCAUACCUGGGACUAUCAUGUCCUCUUUUUUAUUUCUUUCUUUCAGUCUGUCCUUUAAGAAAAGAAGAGAGAAAGGGGCAGAUCUUUUCCCAUCUUACCAAUAGGCACUUAGUAUCUUUUCGUCCAAUGUACUCCCUGUGCUCUGCUGCAACCUCAAAGGCAUGCCCAAGCCUGCUUCUAGUUGGUGUCCCUUAAAGCAUGCAGACCUCGGCACAUGGGAGACAGCAUGGCAGGGGCUCUGGGCCAAUAGCCUUACACUCACAAGUGCCACAGCUUGAAGCCACAACAUCCAGCUCAAACCACCCAGCCUCUGCCUCAUCCCACUCAACUGAAACACGAGAACACACAGCAAGCCCUCCAGCCAGGACACGCAAGGCUAGCUCCUGCCCACCUUCAACCAUCAAGGCUGCUAUUGGGAAUCAGGAUACUCCCUAGUGGAGGGCAAGCAUCCAUUUGCUUCAGAGGGCUGCAGGGGGCUGACGCUGGCUUUCUCUAAGGAGUGGCCUUCCCUAUCCUCUCCCCACAGACCUUGCUCCUUUGCAAAGCUGCUUUUGUGUUCAGGACAAUAAAACUAGCAAAACUGUGCAGAA